GACGAACGCUGGCGGCGCGCUUAACACAUGCAAGUCGAACGGAAAGGCCUGCUUUCCCUUGUGGAUUGCGGGUACUCGAGUGGCGAACGGGUGAGUAACACGUGAGUGAUCUGCCCCCAACUUGGGUAUAAGCCUGGGAAACUGGGUCUAAUUCCCGAUAGGACUGCAGGGUGGUGCCUGUGGUGGAAAACGAUUUUCUAGUGGUUGGGGAUGGGCUCGCGGCCUAUCAGCUUGUUGGUGGGGUUAUGGCCUACCAAGGCGGCGACGGGUAGCCGGCCUGGGAAGGUGGACUGCCACAUUGGGUCGGAGAUACGGCCCAGACUUCUGCGGGAGGCAGCAGUGGGGAAUAUUGGACGAGGGGAGGAAGCCUGAGGCUGCGACGCGGCGUGGGGGAUGACGGCGUGCGGGUUGUAAACUCCUUUCGACCGCGAGGAAGCCACAUGGUUGGAAGGGUGGUGACGGUAGUGGUAGAAGAAGCACCGGCUAACUACGUG
rnacentral:rRNA from 1 species